UCUUAUUAAAGCUCAAACAUGCCUGCGCAGAGUGAUCCACUCGUCAUUUUUCUGGCAGGGCUGGUCGCCAUAGAGGCCGAGUUACUGGCAGGACUGUCUUCACAGGCUAUAGGCCUCGUGCCACUGAACCUUGGAACUCUGAUUAUGAACCGCCCAUAUCACAGACAACUCUUCACAAACAGAGGAUCGAUCAGAGGACAUGGGUCU